GAGUGAAAUAGAACCUGAAACCGUGUGCUUACAAGUAGUCAGAGCCCGUUAAUGGGUGAUGGCGUGCCUUUUGUAGAAUGAACCGGCGAGUUACGAUUUGAUGCAAGGUUAAGCAGUAAAUGUGGAGCCGUAGCGAAAGCGAGUCUGAAUAGGGCGUUUAGUAUUUGGUCGUAGACCUGAAACCAGGUGAUCUACCCUUGGUCAGGUUGAAGUUCAGGUAACACUGAAUGGAGGACCGAACCGACUUACGUUGAAAAGUGAGCGGAUGAACUGAGGGUAGCGGAGAAAUUCCAAUCGAACCUGGAGAUAGCUGGUUCUCUCCGAAAUAGCUUUAGGGCUAGCCUCAAGUGAUGAUUAUUGGAGGUAGAGCACUGUUUGGACGAGGGGCCCCUCUCGGGUUACCGAAUUCAGACAAACUCCGAAUGCCAAUUAAUUUAACUUGGGAGUCAGAACAUGGGUGAUAAGGUCCGUGUUCGAAAGGGAAACAGCCCAGACCACCAGCUAAGGUCCCAAAAUAUAUGUUAAGUGGAAAAGGAUGUGGCGUUGCCCAGACAACUAGGAUGUUGGCUUAGAAGCAGCCAUCAUUUAAAGAGUGCGUAAUAGCUCACUAGUCGAGUGACACUGCGCCGAAAAUGUACCGGGGCUAAACAUAUUACCGAAGCUGUGGAUUGUCCUUUGGACAAUGGUAGGAGAGCGUUCUAAGGGCGUUGAAGCAUGAUCGUAAGGACAUGUGGAGCGCUUAGAAGUGAGAAUGCCGGUGUGAGUAGCGAAAGACGGGUGAGAAUCCCGUCCACCGAUUGACUAAGGUUUCCAGAGGAAGGCUCGUCCGCUCUGGGUUAGUCGGGUCCUAAGCUGAGGCCGACAGGCGUAGGCGAUGGAUAACAGGUUGAUAUUCCUGUACCACCUAUAAUCGUUUUAAUCGAUGGGGGGACGCAGUAGGAUAGGCGAAGCGUGCGAUUGGAUUGCACGUCUAAGCAGUAAGGCUGAGUAUUAGGCAAAUCCGGUACUCGUUAAGGCUGAGCUGUGAUGGGGAGAAGACAUUGAGUCUUCGAGUCGUUGAUUUCACACUGCCGAGAAAAGCCUCUAGAUAGAAAAUAGGUGCCCGUACCGCAAACCGACACAGGUAGUCAAGAUGAGAAUUCUAAGGUGAGCGAGCGAACUCUCGUUAAGGAACUCGGCAAAAUGACCCCGUAACUUCGGGAGAAGGGGUGCUCUUUAGGGUUAACGCCCAGAAGAGCCGCAGUGAAUAGGCCCAAGCGACUGUUUAUCAAAAACACAGGUCUCUGCUAAACCGUAAGGUGAUGUAUAGGGGCUGACGCCUGCCCGGUGCUGGAAGGUUAAGAGGAGUGGUUAGCUUCUGCGAAGCUACGAAUCGAAGCCCCAGUAAACGGCGGCCGUAACUAUAACGGUCCUAAGGUAGCGAAAUUCCUUGUCGGGUAAGUUCCGACCCGCACGAAAGGCGUAACGAUUUGGGCACUGUCUCAACGAGAGACUCGGUGAAAUCAUAGUACCUGUGAAGAUGCAGGUUACCCGCGACAGGACGGAAAGACCCCGUGGAGCUUUACUGUAGCCUGAUAUUGAAAUUCGGCACAGCUUGUACAGGAUAGGUAGGAGCCUUUGAAACGUGAGCGCUAGCUUACGUGGAGGCGCUGGUGGGAUACUACCCUAGCUGUGUUGGCUUUCUAACCCGCACCACUUAUCGUGGUGGGAGACAGUGUCAAGCGGGCAGUUUGACUGGGGCGGUCGCCUCCUAAAAGGUAACGGAGGCGCUCAAAGGUUCCCUCAGAAUGGUUGGAAAUCAUUCAUAGAGUGUAAAGGCAUAAGGGAGCUUGACUGCGAGACCUACAAGUCGAGCAGGGUCGAAAGACGGACUUAGUGAUCCGGUGGUUCCGCAUGGAAGGGCCAUCGCUCAACGGAUAAAAGCUACCCCGGGGAUAACAGGCUUAUCUCCCCCAAGAGUUCACAUCGACGGGGAGGUUUGGCACCUCGAUGUCGGCUCAUCGCAUCCUGGGGCUGUAGUCGGUCCCAAGGGUUGGGCUGUUCGCCCAUUAAAGCGGUACGCGAGCUGGGUUCAGAACGUCGUGAGACAGUUCGGUCCCUAUCCGUCGUGGGCGUAGGAAAUUUGAGAGGAGCUGUCCUUAGUACGAGAGGACCGGGAUGGACAUACCUCUGGUGUACCAGUUGUCGUGCCAACGGCAUAGCUGGGUAGCUAUGUGUGGACGGGAUAAGUGCUGAAAGCAUCUAAGCAUGAAGCCCCCCUCAAGAUGAGAUUUCCCAACUUCGGUUAUAAGAUCCCUCAAAGAUGAUGAGGUUAAUAGGUUCGAGGUGGAAGCAUGGUGACAUGUGGAGCUGACGAAUACUAAUCGAUCGAAGACUUAAUCAA
rnacentral:rRNA from 1 species